rnacentral:rRNA from 1 species
AUGAACGCUAGCGGCAGGCCUAAUACAUGCAAGUCGAGGGGCAGCACAGUAGCAAUAUUGGUGGCGACCGGCGCACGGGUGCGUAACACGUAUACAAUCUGCCUUUAACAGGGGGAUAGCUCGGAGAAAUUCGAAUUAAUACCCCAUAACACAAGAGAUAGCAUUAUUUUUUGUUGAAAGCUCCGGCGGUUAGAGACGAGUAUGCGCAUGAUUAGCUAGUUGGUAGUGUAAUGGACUACCAAGGCGACGAUCAUUAGGGGAUCUGAGAGGACUACCCCCCACACUGGUACUGAGACACGGACCAGACUCCUACGGGAGGCAGCAGUAAGGAAUAUUGGUCAAUGGAGGCAACUCUGAACCAGCCAUGCCGCGUGCAGGAUGAAGGUCCUAUGGAUUGUAAACUGCUUUUGUACGAGAGAAAACCUGGGUACGUGUAUCCAGUUGAUAGUAUCGUAAGAAUAAGGAUCGGCUAACUUCGUGCCAGCAGCCGCGGUAAGACGAAGGAUCCAAGCGUUAUCCGGAUUCAUUGGGUUUAAAGGGUGCGUAGGCGGAUUUGUAAGUCAGUGGUGAAAGCCGGCAGCUCAACUGUCGAAUUGCCAUUGAUACUGCAGAUCUAGAAUAUAGAUGACGUUGGCGGAAUAUGACAUGUAGCGGUGAAAUGCAUAGAUAUGUCAUAGAACACCGAUUGCGAAGGCAGCUGACGAAACUAUAAUUGACGCUGAUGCACGAAAGUGCGGGGAUCAAACAGGAUUAGAUACCCUGGUAGUCCGCACAGUAAACGAUGAUAACUAGAUGUUUGCGAUAUACAGUAAGCGUCCAAGCGAAAGCGAUAAGUUAUCCACCUGGGGAGUACGCCGGCAACGGUGAAACUCGAAGGAAUUGACGGGGGCCCGCACAAGCGGAGGAGCAUGUGGUUUAAUUCGAUGAUACGCGAGGAACCUUACCAGGGCUUGAAAGUUAAGGAAUGAUUAUGAAAGUAGUCAGUCAGCAAUGACCUAAAACUAGGUGCUGCAUGGCUGUCGUCAGCUCGUGCCGUGAGGUGUUGGGUUAAGUCCCGCAACGAGCGCAACCCCUUACCAUAGUUGCCACCCCUUAAGUUGGGAGCACUCUGGACAUGACUGCCUCGCUGCAAACGGAGGAGGAAGGUGGGGAUGACGUCAAGUCAUAUGGCCCUUACGUCCAUGGGCUACACACGUGACUACAAUGCCGGCACACAGAGGGAAGCUACAGCAGUGAUGCUGAUGCAAAUCCCCUAAAACCGGGCCCAGUUCAGAUUGUCGUCUGCAACUCGACGGCAUGAAGCUGGAAUCGCUAGUAAUGGCGCAUCAGCUACGGCGCCGUGAAUACGUUCCCAGGCCUUGUACACACCGCCCGUCACAUCAUGAAAGCCGGUUGCACCCGAAGCCGCCCCUAAAAAGGUGUCGAAGGUAUGACUGGUGAUUGGGAUG